rnacentral:rRNA from 1 species
AUUGAACGCUGGCGGCAUGCUUUACACAUGCAAGUCGAACGGUAACAGGUUAAGCUGACGAGUGGCAAACGGGUGAGUAAUGCAUCGGAACGUGCCCGGUCGUGGGGGAUAACGCAGCGAAAGUUGCGCUAAUACCGCAUACGAUCUGAGGAUGAAAGCGGGGGACCGUAAGGCCUCGCGCGAUCGGAGCGGCCGAUGUCAGAUUAGGUAGUUGGUGGGGUAAAGGCUCACCAAGCCAACGAUCUGUAGCUGGUCUGAGAGGACGACCAGCCACACUGGGACUGAGACACGGCCCAGACUCCUACGGGAGGCAGCAGUGGGGAAUUCUGGACAAUGGGCGAAAGCCUGAUCCAGCAAUGCCGCGUGCAGGAAGAAGGCCUUCGGGUUGUAAACUGCUUUUGUACGGAGCGAAAAGGUCUCCUCUAAUACAGGGGGCUCAUGACGGUACCGUAAGAAUAAGCACCGGCUAACUACGUGCCAGCAGCCGCUGUAA